rnacentral:rRNA from 1 species
UACAGAGGGUGCAAGCGUUGUUCGGAAUUAUUGGGCGUAAAGCGCGUGUAGGCGGCUUUGCAAGUCGGGUGUGAAAGCCCUCAGCUCAACUGAGGAAGUGCGCCCGAAACUGCAGAGCUUGAGUGCCGGAGAGGGUGGCGGAAUUCCUGGUGUAGAGGUGAAAUUCGUAGAUAUCAGGAGGAACACCGGUGGCGAAGGCGGCCACCUGGACGGUAACUGACGCUGAGGCGCGAAAGCGUGGGGAGCAAACAGG